rnacentral:rRNA from 1 species
UACGGAGGAUGCAAGCGUUAUCCGGAAUGAUUGGGCGUAAAGCGUCCGCAGGUGGCAAUGUAAGUCUGCUGUUAAAGAGUCUGGCUCAACUAGAUAAAAGCAGUGGAAACUACAUAGCUAGAGUACGUUCGGGGCAGAGGGAAUUCCUGGUGUAGCGGUGAAAUGCGCAGAUAUCAGGAAGAACACCCGUGGCGAAGGCGGCUCUCUGGGACGGUACUGACGCUGAGACGCGAAAGCGUGGGGAGCGAACAGG